rnacentral:rRNA from 1 species
GAGUUAUCAGAACCUUCGGGGGACGAUAACGGCGUCGAGCGGCGGACGGGUGAGUAAUGCCUAGGAAAUUGCCCUGAUGUGGGGGAUAACCAUUGGAAACGAUGGCUAAUACCGCAUGAUGCCUACGGGCCAAAGAGGGGGACCUUCGGGCCUCUCGCGUCAGGAUAUGCCUAGGUGGGAUUAGCUAGUUGGUGAGGUAAGGGCUCACCAAGGCGACGAUCCCUAGCUGGUCUGAGAGGAUGAUCAGCCACACUGGAACUGAGACACGGUCCAGACUCCUACGGGAGGCAGCAGUGGGGAAUAUUGCACAAUGGGCGCAAGCCUGAUGCAGCCAUGCCGCGUGUGUGAAGAAGGCCUUCGGGUUGUAAAGCACUUUCAGUCGUGAGGAAGGUGGUGUAGUUAAUAGCUGCAUUAUUUGACGUUAGCGACAGAAGAAGCACCGGCUAACUCCGUGCCAGCAGCCGCGGUAAUACGGAGGGUGCGAGCGUUAAUCGGAAUUACUGGGCGUAAAGCGCAUGCAGGUGGUUUGUUAAGUCAGAUGUGAAAGCCCGGGGCUCAACCUCGGAAUUGCAUUUGAAACUGGCAGACUAGAGUACUGUAGAGGGGGGUAGAAUUUC